rfam:Flavobacterium succinicans strain DD5b FLB_contig000035, whole genome shotgun sequence.
UUUUAGCCCCGGUAGUAGCGGCAUCCUUUUGGGGCGGGGUUCGCCCCAAAAGAUACAGCGGAUGACGGGAUUAGCU